rnacentral:lncRNA from 1 species
UAAAAAAUUUACAAACGAUAUCAAGCCGCACCCUCAAGUUACAGAUUACCGCAACCACAUCAAACCAAACAAGUUCACAAAGGGUAUUGAGCCACAACCUCAAGUUACAGACUACCGCAACGUCGUCGAACCAAACAAGUUCACAAAGAGUAUCAAGCCACAACCUCAAGCGACAAGUUAUGGCAAUAUCAAAAUCUUCACAACAGAUAUCGAGCCGCAACCUCAAGUUUCAAAUUACCGCAACGAGAUCCGUCGGAGCAAGUUGGUGAUGGAAUCUUGAAGUCGAUGUGGUUUAGUUCACUUUUUACCUAUGGUCUUUUGUCGGUUGGAGUGUAAGAAAAAUAAGGUCAAGUAAUUUCAUCCUGAUUAUGUACUUGUAAUGCUAUUUUAGAAAGCAAUUAUAGCUUUCUACUCUAUUUGUACAACUUUUUUAAAUACGACAAUAAAACGCUCUUAGUUAUUAUUCAGAAUACAAGUAAACUUAAAAAAAGAGACGUCAAUCAAA